GACGAACGCUGGCGGCGUGCUUAACACAUGCAAGUCGAACGGAAAGGCCCUGCUCUUGUGGGGUGCUCGUGAGGCGAACGGGUGAGUAACACGCGAGUAACCCGUCCUUGACUUUGGGAUAACUUCAGGAAACUGGGGCUAAUACCGGAUAGGAGCUUCUGCUGCACGGUGGGGGUUGGUAAGUUUCGGCCGUUGGGGAUGGACUCGCGGCUUAUCAGCUUGUUGGUGGGGUAGGGGCUUACCAAGGCUUUGACGGGUAGCCGGCCUGAGAGGGUGACCGGCCACAUUGGGACUGAGAUACGGCCCAGACUCCUACGGGAGGCAGCAGUGGGGAAUAUUGCACAAUGGGCGGAAGCCUGAUGCAGCAACGCCGCGUGCGGGAUGACGGCCUUCGGGUUGUAAACCGCUUUCGCCUGUGACGAAGCGUGAGUGACGGUAAUGGGUAAAGAAGCACCGGCUAACUACGUG
rnacentral:rRNA from 1 species